rnacentral:rRNA from 1 species
UACGUAGGGUGCAAGCGUUGUCCGGAAUUAUUGGGCGUAAAGAGCUCGUAGGCGGUCUGUCGCGUCGAAUGUGAAAACCCGGGGCUCAACCCCGGGCCUGCAUUCGAUACGGGCAGACUUGAGUACUGCAGGGGAGACUGGAAUUCCUGGUGUAGCGGUGGAAUGCGCAGAUAUUAGGAAGAACACCAGUGGCGAAGGCGGCUCACUGGCCCGGUACUGACGCUGAGGCGCGAAAGCGUGGGGAGCAAACAGG